rnacentral:rRNA from 1 species
CCUACGGGUGGCAGCAGUGAGGAAUAUUGGUCAAUGGGCGCGAGCCUGAACCAGCCAAGUAGCGUGAAGGAUGACUGCCCUACGGGUUGUAAACUUCUUUUAUAAAGGAAUAAAGUGAGGCACGUGUGCCUUUUUGUAUGUAUUUUAUGAAUAAUGAUCGGCUAACUCCGUGCCAGCAGCCGCGGUAAUACGGAGGAUCCGAGCGUUAUCCGGAUUUAUUGGGUUUAAAGGGAGCGUAGAUGGGUUGUUAAGUCAGUUGUGAAAGUUUGCGGCUCAACCGUAAAAUUGCAAUUGAUACUGGCAGCCGUGAGUACAGUUGAGGUAGGCGGAAUUCGUGGUGUAGCGGUGAAAUGCUUAGAUAUCACGAGGAACCCCGAUUGCGAAGGCAGCCUGCCGGGGUGCGACUGACGCUGAGGCUCGAAGGUGCGGGUAUCAAACAGGAUUAGAUACCCCAGUAGUC